rnacentral:tRNA from 1 species
GGAGAGAUGUCCGAGUGGUCGAAGGAGCUCGCCUGGAAAGUGAGUGAGGGGACGCAAAUCUUCUCCUAGGGUUCAAAUCCCUAUCUCUCCGCCA